rnacentral:rRNA from 1 species
CCAGACUCCUACGGGAGGCAGCAGUGGGGAAUAUUGGGCAAUGGGCGCAAGCCUGACCCAGCAACGCCGCGUGAAGGAAGAAGGCUUUCGGGUUGUAAACUUCUUUUGUCAGGGACGAAGCAAGUGACGGUACCUGACGAAUAAGCCACGGCUAACUACGUGCCAGCCGCCGCGGUAAUACGUAGGUGGCAAGCGUUAUCCGGAUUUACUGGGUGUAAAGGGCGUGUAGGCGGGACUGCAAGUCAGAUGUGAAAACCACGGGCUCAACCUGUGGCCUGCAUUUGAAACUGUAGUUCUUGAGUACUGGAGAGGCAGACGGAAUUCCUAGUGUAGCGGUGAAAUGCGUAGAUAUUAGGAGGGACACCAGUGGCGAAGGCGGUCUGCUGGACAGCAACUGACGCUGAGGCGCGAAAGCGUGGGGAGCAAACAGGAUUAGAUACCCGCGUAUU